rnacentral:rRNA from 1 species
UGCGUAGGCGGGUUUCUAAAUCAGAGGUGAAAGCCUGGAGCUCAACUCCAGAACUGCCUUUGAUACUGGAAGUCUUGAGUUCGGGAGAGGUGAGUGGAACUGCGAGUGUAGAGGUGAAAUUCGUAGAUAUUCGCAAGAACACCAGUGGCGAAGGCGGCUCACUGGCCCGAUACUGACGCUGAGGCACGAAAGACGUGGGGAGGCAAACAA